rnacentral:rRNA from 1 species
GACGAACGCUGGCGGCAUGCUUAACACAUGCAAGUCGAACGGAAAGGCCCUGCUUUUGUGGGGUGCUCGAGUGGCGAACGGGUGAGUAACACGUGAGUAACCUGCCCUUGACUUUGGGAUAACUUCAGGAAACUGGGGCUAAUACCGGAUAGGAGCUCCUGCUGCAUGGUGGGGGUUGGAAAGUUUCGGCGGUUGGGGAUGGACUUGCGGCUUAUCAGCUUGUUGGUGGGGUAGUGGAUUACCAAGGAUUUGAAGGGUAGCCAGACUGAGAGGGAGACCGGCCACAUACUGAUAGAGAAACGACCAAUACGCAAACUUGAACAAUCAGCGAAAAAUAUAUCAAAAAAUGCCGAAUCUGUAAACAACAACUUCGGGUUCUAAAGCACUUCUUUCGGGUAAGAAACCCUUUUCCCUUAUAACGAAGCGUGAUGAACGUAAAUGAAGAAAGAACCACCGCUAAAUUACUG